ensembl:lncRNA SNHG12 small nucleolar RNA host gene 12
CCUUUCUCCCCGCCGCAUUCCCGGUGUCGACUUACUAGCUGCAAGCCUCUGCCUGCCUUCCUGCGCGCCGUUCCCCGCUAGUCGCUGCUGCUGGCGCGCACUCGCCGGGUUUUUCCUCCCACGGCCUCGAGAUGGUGGUGAAUGUGGCACGGAGGAGCCGGGCCUUCCAACCCGGUGGGCCCGAGCUCCGAAAGGCCCCCUCGGCAGUGAGAGGGGCGGGAGCCCGCGGGGGCCGCGCCCUUCUCUCGCUUCGGACUGCGCAACGCUGCGCUCUGGGCUGACAGGCGGAUAAAACGGUCCCAUCAAGACUGAGAAAAAGCACACCAGCUAUUGGCACAGCGUGGGCAGUGGGGCCUACAGGAUGACUGACUUAGUCUACAGAGAUCCCGGCGUACUUAAGCAGGUAGUAAUGAUGGACAGGUGAGGCUUUAGGCGGCCGCCCUGGGAUCUGAAUUGCCCCUUGGCCCUUAUCGAAGCUGCAGCUGCUUCCGCAUAGCUGCUGUGGUCAAAAAGGAGCCCAGAGUGACAGUUUUCCUUGACGGUCGCCGUUCUGUUUGUUGUAACUGAUCUGCAACAUUUUGGGAAAAUACAGUUCCAUUGUACCUGCCACCUUUCAGCUGUAGCCAGAGACCUUUAUCAAAAUGGGCUUGUUUCCACAGAACAGCAGAACGGUUGGGGGUUUGCAUGUACAGUUAACCAGCAUAAGACUCGUACUGGGAAAAUCCAGCUGGGAUGUGACACAGCUUAACUGAUAGCUUAAGGCAUCAGUAUUGGGACCAAAGGCUGGUCAGAUUUGUAUCAUUCUGAGGACCAAAUGAUGGGAACAAUAAAAUUGUUCAUGACAGUUGUUCUCAUUUUGCUGUCCAGAUGAAGACUCUUAAGAUGACAGAAGGUGAUUUUUCUGGUGAUCGAGGACUUCCGGGGUAAUGACAGUGAUGAAAUGCAGGGGACCUGGUAGGUUUCUUUUGGAGACUAACUGGGGGCUGCCUGGUGGGACAGAACAGCAUGUUUCCAAGGGCUGUGGCUGGUCAUAGCCAUGGGAUCUCCAACUGCAUGCAAGAGCAACCUGGAAAGACUUUGACAGCGCAGGUCAGUACAAUACCUGCAAGCUGCCACUCAGCUUUCCUAUAAUGUUUCAGGACCAGGGCUGGAAGCCUUCCAUGUGUCAACUUCAAUGUAGAUGGGUUUUUUUUUUUUUUUUUUUUUGAGACGGAGUCUUGCUCUGUCACCCAGGCUGCUGGAGUGCAGUGGCAUGAUCUCGGCUCAUGGCAACCUCUGCCUCCUGGGUUCAAGCGACUCUCCUACCUCAUCCUCCCGAGUAGCUGGGAUUACAGGUGCCCACCAUCACACCCAGCUAAUUUUCUUGUAUUUUUAGUAGAGAUGGUUUUCACCAUGUUGGCUAGAUGGGUCUCGAACUUCUGACCUCGGGUGAUCCGCCCGACUCGGCCUCCCCUUCCAAAGUGCUGGGAUUACAGGCAUGAGCCACCGCUCCUGGCCAGUUUAGUUUUCACGCUAAGCUUUUUGUUCUGCAGGUUGCCCCCAAGUUUCCUGGCAGUGUGUGAUACUGAGGAGGUGAGCUUGUUUCUGGAGCUGUGCUUUAAGAUUCAUGUUACAUGUAAAGCUGUCCUCAUUUGUGACUAUGGACCUAUGGAGUUGGGACAAUCUCUAUGGGAAGCAGAAGGCAAGGACCCCGGUCAUUUUAGGUAGAAACAACAGCAUGCUAAUGCAAAAAAUUAUGCAGUGUGCUACUGAACUUCAGAGGUGAUCAAUAAAAGAAGAAUAAAAAGACUAAUAAAAGUA